AAAGGAAUUGACGGGGGCCCGCACAAGCGGAGGAACAUGUGGUUUAAUUCGAUGAUACGCGAGGAACCUUACCCGGGCUUGAAAGUUAGCGAUGGACUUGGAAACAGGUCUUCCAGCAAUGGCGCGAAACUAGGUGCUGCAUGGUUGUCGUCAGCUCGUGCCGUGAGGUGUCGGAUUAAGUUCCAUAACGAGCGCAACCCCUGUUGAUAGUUACCAGCGAGUAGUGUCGGGGACUCUAUCGAGACUGCCUGUGUAAGCAGUGAGGAAGGUGGGGAUGACGUCAAAUCAGCACGGCCCUUACGUCCGGGGCGACACACGUGUUACAAUGGUCGGUACAGAGGGCAGCUACCCAGUGAUGGGGUGCGAAUCUCUAAAGCCGGUCUCAGUUCGGAUUGGAGGCUGAAACUCGCCUCUAUGAAGUUGGAUUCGCUAGUAAUCGCGCAUCAGCCAUGGCGCGGUGAAUACGUUCCCGGGCCUUGUACACACCGCCCGU
rnacentral:rRNA from 1 species